rnacentral:lncRNA from 1 species
UCUCCACGGCACAUGCCCUGUAGAUAACCUCUCCUACCAAUGUCUCCCCCCCAGCGGUAAAUACAAGCAAUAAUGAAUCAAGUCUAUCAGGUGAUACACAAAUUUUGGAAGCAAGAACAUAUGAAAUAAAAGAAUGUGAUACACCAGUGUCAAACAAAACAUGAGCAAUGUGGCCAGAGAUAGUAUACAUGCCAUGUACCACGUCCGGGUCUGCGUCGGCAUCCUUCUAGGUAAGGUUGUAAACUCUGCCCUGGAUUGGAGGCCUUCUUUGAUUCUGGUUCCUAGGGCAUUCCCUUGCAUAGUGUUGGGCACUGCCGCAUAUGCGACAAGUGUUGCUGAGGCAGUAGCAGGGUCGGUCCCCGUGAUCCCUGCCGCAGUACUGGCAGAUCUUCCCACGUGCUGCCCCCGUAGCCUGAGGAGGGGCCUGAAUGGUGGGUCUGGGCCUCUUACUGGGUUGGACAGGCAUAGUAGGUGCUGGCCUGCGGAGCGGGGCUGAGGGUCGGGAACUCCCCGCUAGUUGAGGGGUGGGUGUCGAAGCUCCUUUCUAUGAUCUGCGCCUUUGCCAGGACUGCUGAAUAUGUCUCGAGCUCCAUUACCAGUAAGUGCUGUCUGAUCUCCGGGCGGAGACCCCACUGGAAUUUCCUGGCCUUUCGGCCCUCAUCCAUCAAUGUCUCCAGGGCAUGUCGGCCCAGCUCCAGGAACUUACGGGCAUACUCCGACACUGUCAUGUUUCCCUGGACCAAUUGAGCAAAUUCCAUUUUCUUUAGGUGUUAGAUGUGUUUAGGGAGAUACUCCACGUGGAAGGCCGCUAAGAACUGCUCAUAAGUAGCUGGUGUAGACAGGGUGGUCCGCUUGAGCUCCCACCAGCGUACUGCUUCCCCUACCAGCAUGUAGGAGGCAAUGGCAGCCCUCUGCUCAGGAACUACUCCCAAGGUCUCUAAAGCUCUCUCAGUCUCUGCCAG